rnacentral:lncRNA from 1 species
CUUUGAGGAACUAUACGAUGGUGAUAUAUGUUUAUACAGGUUCUUAUUCAUCACAAAUCAAAUUUCAUAACCUUUAAACACAACACUGCAUUAUAUGUUGAUAAAAAUGAUAUAGCAAUGACUUCUGAAUUGUCUCUCAACCUAUAGGAAUCCUAAUCAGUCUUUAAUGUCCUGUGCAUGCAUAUAUUAACUCUUCCAAGAAUUCUUUCUGAUUUUCCUAUCCAGGAAUAACCUUUUCCUCUGUUCAACUUCCAUAGGAUUAUGUUUAGAUUUCUUUGAUGGAAUUUACUACAUUCUGUCUUUUAGUAUGAUUUUGAAACCAGCCAGAAAAAUUAGACUGGUUGUGUAUUUGGCAAUAAUGGUCAUCAUAGUAAAGCAGCUUAUAUCACUAAGAUUCUGGAAGAUUUCAAAAUAAUUUGGUUAAAAUAUAAAUGUCGUACUUUAUAGAGUUUUGACACUUCCAAAUUUAUUUAUUGUUAUUUUGAGAGGUGAAAUCAGGGAGAACGGGGCAGAUUUAAAAGGGACGUUUUCCCAGAGUGUAUGAUACUCCUUCAUGGGAGAGAAGGAACAGGUGACAGAAUGUGUGUAAGGGUACGUGCUUGGGGUAGGAGGACAUCACCACCACCAAGAGGCCACCUGAGAGGUCCUGAGAGAAGAAGACCCCUAAAUGAAGGCAAGAAGUGAGUACAGAAAGUGAUAAUGACAUAGAGAACAUUCUAAUCACACCUCACAAUUAAACCCUGACUGGCUCUAACAAAGAGGAGGCUUACCUGCUUUCUGUGCCUACAGAAGACCAGACCAGAGAGGGAGUUGAGAUCCAUCUACAGUGAGCAACUCGAGGUACUCUGUGAAGAAAGCCUGGCAUGGGAAUAAGCCACAUCCAACUUCCUCAGCAAAUUAAAGAAGGAUGUAUGUCAAAAUGUCAUACUGUAGAGGGAUGGAUACAAACUCAGCCUAGUGGCCCAAAUUCAGUGGCUGAAGUGAGAGGAAGCCUGACCUGCGCUUCCUCAAGUCGGGUAACCGCUCUGGACUGUAUGAACAAUCCAGCCAUGACAACCAUCCAACUGUGGGGACGAGUGACAUGGAGUUGGCAAAGGCUCCUUUUGAACCCUUUGAAGUAAACAUGCAGAUAUGAGAUCUUCAGAAAUUUGAAUUUUUGGUCCUAAAUCUUCCAAGAUAAGUCUAAAGCCUACACAUCCUACAAUCCUGUUAGUGGAAUGCAAUGUAAGAGAAAAAGAUGGGCAUCCUUGUACUUGGCGUAGAAAUGUAUUUGUUGCCAUCUCAUCAUUAAACAGUGUUGGUAGGUGCUGGUUCCAAUUUUAGAUGUUUGUUCAAACUCUUGCCAUUUUCUGCCAAGAAAUGCUAUCACUAAUUAUGUUAUUUUGGUAUACUUGCUGAGGUAUAAUUGUUUCUUUUAUUUAAAUACAGAAUAUAUGCAUAUUCGAAAAUGCGUUCUUUUUAAAGCUGUUGUUUGCAGAUGGUUAUUUUGAAAUUUAAGUAUACCUAGCAUAAAGAGUUGGGCUUCCUUACACAUCUCUAUCUUUUACUUGCCACUGGAAGUGGUGGACAGCCUUUUGGUGCCUCUCUGUGGGGUUUUCCUGUAUGUAAAAUGAAGAGAACAGCUGCCACCCACUCAUUCCACACUGAAGUGUGUCUUAAGGAUCACGCAUGUAAAAACCUUGCAAUUUCAGAAAAGUGCUACCUCAGCCAAAGUUAUUAUGGGAAUGAAAGUUAAUGUUCAUGUCUAUCUCCAUAAUAGCCACCUGCUCUGUUUGCAUAUGUAUUAAAUUCUCUAUCACUUUAUAUUACCUCCUACCCUUGCUAGAGAAACCACAUAUGUUUCCUGUAAAAAUCUCAAAGUAAAAGUAAUAUUUCGUGAGUAGAUUAUUUUACAACAGAAACUAGG